rnacentral:rRNA from 1 species
CCCGCUGAACUUAAGCAUAUCAGUAGAGCGGAGGAAAAGAAACUAACGAGGAUUCCCUCAGUAACGGCGAGUGAACGGGCAAGAGCCCAGCGCUAAAUCCUGUUGCUCUCACGGGCAACGGGAGGUGUAACGUAUAGUAGGCGAAUUUCCUUGAUGGCUGUCGACUUAAAUUCUCCUUGACUGGGGUUCCAGAGAAGGUGAAAGGCCUGUUCAGUCGAUGGCCGUCUUGGAUUGCGUUCUAAUAGGAGUCGGGUUGUUUGUGAACGCAGCACAAAAUGGGUGGUAAACUUCAUUCUAAGGCUAAAUACGGCCGGGAAACCGAUAGCAAACAAGUACCGUGAGGGAAAGUUGAAAAGUACUUUGAAGAGAGAGUUCAAGAGGACGUGAAACCGGUAGGAUGGAAACGGAUAGAGCCAACGAACAAGCCCGUAUUCAGCUAGUCGGCUGCGUGCGGCAUGCCUGUGUGCUCGUUCAGAGUGCAUGGGUGUGUGCGGUAUGCGGUCGGCUAGUGAAUUUGCGGGUGAUGUGCGCUGAGGCGUGUGGCGGAGUCCUGCAAACUGUCUGGAGAGGCCUCGCCUUCGGGCUUGAAACCUACAGGCGGGGAGUCGGGUUUCUGCUGCAUGUAGACGAAGCGACUAGGUGCAAACGCGCUGUCGUGCUACCGGGCUAGCUGCUUGGCCGGUCGCAUGCGAAUAGGUCUUGUUGGUUGGUCUUGGUGGUACGGCAGUGCCCUGGUCGACCCUCGGUGUAAAAGUUGGUCAUCUCUCCGACCCGUCUUGAAACACGG